rnacentral:rRNA from 1 species
GAUCCUGGCUCAGGAUGAACGUUAGCUACAGGCUUAACACAUGCAAGUCGAGGGGCAGCAUGGCCUUAGCUUGCUAAGGCCGAUGGCGACCGGCGCACGGGUGAGUAACACGUAUCCAACCUGCCGUCUACUCUUGGACAGCCUUCUGAAAGGAAGAUUAAUACAAGAUGGCAUCAUGAGUUCACAUGUUCACAUGAUUAAAGGUAUUCCGGUAGACGAUGGGGAUGCG